rnacentral:rRNA from 1 species
CAGAACGACUCUCGGCAACGGAUAUCUCGGCUCUCGCAUCGAUGAAGAACGUAGCGAAAUGCGAUACGUGGUGUGAAUUGCAGAAUCCCGUGAACCAUCGAGUUUUUGAACGCAAGUUGCGCCCAAAGCCUUUUGGUUGAGGGCACGUCUGCCUGGG